CGGGCCGUCGUAUACUGGUAGUAUUCAUGUUUUGGGAACAUGAGGACCGGGUUCGAUUCCCGGCGGCCCGACCG
rnacentral:tRNA from 1 species